UACCUCUGUUCACCAUUUUUCUGUCGCCGAGUGAGGUCGGCGGUCGGCGGCGCCUACCUCGCGCCUCCUGCUGCUCCGAUCCAUGUACGCAGGCUCCUUCCGAUCCCACUCCAUCCGCUGCCCCUGUUGUUUGUUCCCAAUUUUUCCCGCGCCGUGUGAGGUCGGACGGCCGUUGGUGGCGGCUGCUCCCUCUCCCGACAUCGGGAUUUCAGGUCCUGGCUGAUAGGUCCUCCACCCGUGCUCUGGUGACCGAGGCCACUGCGGCACCCCCGAAUCAUUGGCAUUGGCAGCGGAGGCUCACUUCCAGUAGGCUGAACAGAGAGAGGGUGCACGACUUGGCGACAGUGUUCCACGGCAGAUGCGCAAUUUGGGCAUUUAUCCAUUCCCUUGUUCUCAUCCCAUUAUGCUCUGAUUCAAAGUGUAUUUUUGUGGAUUGGUUUAUGUCCACAGGGUGCAAGUUACUCCUGUUAAUCGGCUCCGUCAACCGCGUCCAGGGCCGGCGCACGCGGGAGCUACGAAAUUCGUACACUUCGUCGGCACCUGCAACGCUAGCAUCCACUGCGGCCUCGACGGCGAGGAGGAGGACUUCGACACGCUGACCGCCACAUGCCCGCACCCCCGUCCGCGAACUCUGCAGUAGCACACGCGUCAUCGCCAUUCCAUUUUCGUCCAAGGUCACAUCACUUCCAGGCGACGGCUUACCAUGGCAGCGGCGCAAUCCGGGUUCAUAUCCCCUGUCAUCAUCCCUCAUCCUCAAUCCUCAAUGGCAUUGCAGGGUUUUUUUUUUUGAUGGUAACACCGGGGGGACGAUGAGUCCCCACCUGAAUGAGCUUUCAUUGAUGCCGGGAUGAUCCGGUGAUGAAAGGGGUUGUGCAUGGCGCACUUACAGGCAGGCAGAACUGCAGAUGUGUACAAAGAGAGAACAAGAGCAAGGUGGUGUAUAUUACAUAGUAAACAAGGUACUCCAGUAGUCGGCGUGUCGCUGUUGUGAAGCCGGCAGGCGACAACGCCAGGAGUAAAGUUGGAGAUGAGGAGGAAUUGGACUUUUAUCUUGAGCCCAUUGAAGAUACAUGUUGUCAGAUCGAAAUCCAUCAUCAGAGGCUCCAUAAAACCCCAAGGUAUUAGAUGUCUGUUUGGACUGAAUCGGUGGUCCAAUUUCUUUUUAUUAGGGAAUUUAAACAGAUCUGCACCUGCAAACAUGGCCCCUGCUGGAGUGUUUGAAUUGCUUUACUGGACUGUUGGGACUUCUGGCUUUGCUAUUACAUCCUGAAGUUUAUAUGUUGUUACUUGUGAAAUUUGAUCAAGCGUGUUUUGCUUGAAAAAAUGAUAUAAACCUUUGAUUUUAGUUGAGUAUCUCUCUUCUAAAGCCAUGAGCUGUAAAGUCUGAAAUUGUGCCAUUUAGAUGGACAAACAUUAUACAAACAAAAUGAUAUGUGUUUACUACCAUUUUUACUUGGAAAUACUCAAUCGACAUGGGCACCUCUACACUAGCAAAGAGGAAGUGACACAGAGGAGCUAAGCCAGUGGGCACUCAUCUCCGUCAUCAUCAUGUAAUCAUUCUAGUUCCUGCCCACAUCAAGAUCUGCGGAGUUCAAUCAGGGAUAAACUGAUCUUCUUCCCUUUGUAGCUUCACCCUCAAGAGUUUCAGUUUCUAACUUUCCAUGUUUACGUUCACAGGUUGCUUGUUUCUAGUGGAGGAAGAAGUUUUUGGAGCAAAUUCCUACCAGUGUCUCUGUUCGCUGCUGGAUCAGGCCAAUUUCAAGUUCCGUAGUGACGUUUAAUGCAGAAGCAUAUAUCUGAUGUCCGAGUGUUGGAAUGCAGAGAGCAGAGAACGGGCGACCCAUUUUAUGCAUCCAUGUCUCCCGAUUGUCAUCUCAAGAAAAAAAAACGGCUGUUUUUCAGCAGUCUUAAUUUGUAUCAAGCUAUCAGAUUUAUUUGCAAUUUUGACCAGCAUAUCUAUAAAGAAUGGUCCUAUUUGAUGGUGAA